rnacentral:rRNA from 1 species
AGGGAAUAUUAGAAAUGGACGAAAGUCUGAUCUAGCGACACCGCGUGUGCGAAGAAGGCCUUCGGGUUGUAAAGCACUUUUUGGAAGGAAUAGGAAGGAAGGUACUUCCAGAAUAAGUCUCGGCUAACUACGUGCCAGCAGCCGCGGUAACACGUAGGAGGCAAACGUUAUCCGGAUUUACUGGGCGUAAAGCGCGUGUAGGUGGUUCUGUAAGUAGGGCGUGAAAGCUCCCGGCUCAACUGGGAGAGGCCGUUCUAAACUGCAGAGCUAGAGGAUGGUAGAGGGAGGUGGAAUUCCAGGUGUAGCGGUGGAAUGCGCAGAUAUCUGGAGGAACACCAGUGGCGAAGGCGGCCUCCUGGACCAUUCCUGACACUCAGACGCGAAAGCUAGGGUAGCAAACGG